GCUGAUGACUGGGGUGAAGUCGUAACAAGGUAGCCGUACCGGAAGGUGCGGCUGGAUCACCUCCUAA
rnacentral:rRNA from 1 species